ensembl:lncRNA uncharacterized LOC114469026
CAGCUGACUUCCGCAUCCGUUCGCGGGUCAGCGCGAUCUAGUCUUUUUCCCUCAUGUUUGUGUUUUUCUUUCACUUGGCGGUAUUUCAUUUUUAAUCGCAGAGGACUGGGAUCGUGAGCAUGUCGCUGUUGUCAACGCUGGAACAAACUAUCAGGGCCUACAAAGACCAACAAGCCGAGAUCGAUGCUAAUAUUCGGCUGUUAAAAGAAAUUCUGAAAAGCUUGGUAUCACAGCCCAAGUCAGGCUUUGAUGCGUCAGAAGUAAAGGAUGAGGCCGGAGAUGCGGCUGCAGAUCCAGCUUCCCCUCCAGGGCAGAAGGAUGAUAUUGACCUGCUCGACCAAGCUCUGGAAAAAGCCCUUAAGAUACGCAGUGGCAUUGAUUCCUCUAAAAAACACACAGUUAGAAACAAAUUCCCCGGAUGUGAAAAAGAACAAGGCCCUGGAGCUGACUCAGCCAAUGACAGAACAAUGUCUGCAUCAAUUAAAGGGUGUCAGAAAAUCACUAAAUCAAGCUCAAAACCUGCAUGUGUGAUAAGAAAGGGGAACCAUAAGGACAGAUCGUCAGCCAGCUCACGACAUGCUGCUAGCUUUAGGUCUGGACAUUCCAAAACCACAAAUAACAGAAACAUAAUCCAAGAGCAUCUUGCCUCAUCAGCUGGGCUAGUGCAUCAUCAGGCUGCCUCAGCGUCUGCUUCUGCUAAUGACAUCUCCACUCGGCUGUCUAAAAACAAGAACACUCGGAACAACAUGCUGUGUGAUGACAACCUGGAGAAAUCAGCGUCUGUCUCCACGACGUCUCCCAAUAGCGUUACUACUGUUUCACAUACUGAAAAAUCUGGAGAAAGCGGUGUGUUUCAGCAGGAUGGGGUUCCUCCUGGAGAGGCGAUAAGAUGGAAAUCGUUAAAGAGAAGACAAAACAGAUUGUGGGACAAAGUCGUUGCUGUAAAUCAGAAACAUGUGGCUGGGAGGAGUCGCUUCAUGGAGAGAAUGAGAACUACAUUCCCUAAGGACUGGCCGUGUGGAAGUCCAGAUCAAACCAGAGUUCUAUUAAACAGGCUGACUCAUAGAGGGCGUGACCUCUUGCAGCUCCGCCCAGUAAAUGAUGUACUACCGACCUCCAAAACCCACAGGGAACUGGUUAGUGACGAAGGAAAGACUGAGUUGAGUUUGACGAAGGAAGAGUUGGAGCACACCGUGGAAGAGUUUCGUAACCAGGCUGAUCAAGUGAUACAAGAAUGGAAAGCAUGGAAUCGAUGGAGUCCGGAGGGAGGCUGUCUUUGUGCCACUGAAGCAAGCUGUGUGUGGGCAGAUGGGAUGACUGCACCCCUGCCCCUCUCUGUAACCUACACAACCGAGGCAGAGCUCCAAGAGCUGGAGAGGCUGCGGAUGACGGUUGCACUUCUGCAACAGGAGAAUUCCCUCCAACAGGCUUUAUCGGAGGCUCUCGCUCCCCAGCUUCUGUCCGCAGUGCCGGAGUCUGGAUUUCCAAACCCAAGUGUGCUGAGAGAUCUGUACUCGCUGCUUGGGGAAGGAGGGGAGCGCUUCCCAGCCAUCGUCCUGGACUCUGAGCAUGACUGACUGCAGAUUGCAGUCUCAUGUCAUCUUUACAAGAUGGUAGCAAUGUGCUGCAGACUUCUGGUCCACCCAUGCAGUCUUGGAACAGAAUGUGUGCGUGAAGAAGUGCAUGACACGAGGAAGCAGGGGUAGCAUCCGUGCAUCAUGAUAACACUACACACGAGUCCCAUAGUGUGAGUGGCACCCACGCAAUGUAGUUUUCCCGUGACCUGCAUGCUGUCCAACUUUGGCUGUCACCACCUCAAAUUAGGGUGUAAAAAAAAAUGGAUUCGGCGAUACAUUACGAUAUUUCACCAUGCGAUUAUCGCAUGGAUCAUAUAUCAUGUUUUUUAACGAAAAUAACAAUUUAUUUGCGCUAACAAAUGCAUAGCACAUAAAUGCCCGGUCACGAGGUGUCAGUGAACCACAUCAAACCUUGUUAAGCUACCUCACUUAUGAAAUAGAAAGUGUCUAUUCGUACGGUUGUCGUACGGACAACCUCCGAUGCUAUUGAUGCAGUUACCGAAGUACAACAUAGCGUCUUAGGGUUAAGGUUAAGAUUUGGUUUAGUGUGAGGGUUAGGUUAUAACCCAAUAUCACAACAUAUUUUAGAGUUAGGGUUAGGUUUAGGGUAAGGUUUAGUCUUAGUCACGCGACCUAAACUGGCCAAAUAGGGGUGCUGCGUACGGAUAGAAUGUCGGUAUAUUGAUACGGCAACCGUAUGGAUAACCACUGCCUAUGAAAUAUACUGGGCACUUUGAUAGAUGUAUGUGGUUACCUUUUUGUAAAGAAUUUAAGAACCGAACAGAAUCAGAAUCUGUUGUAAAAGCAGAAGUUCAACUUUUUUGAGAAAUGUAAUUUGUCAGUUUGAUAAACAUGACACUUGUUUUUGAUAUUGGUACUUGAGUUACAGUUAGUUACCAUUUACUUGUUCUCGCAAGUUUAAAACAUCAAAUAAAUUUCAUACCCUUUUGUACUUGUAAAGGUGA